rnacentral:misc_RNA from 1 species
GAUGAAGAACGUAGCGAAAUGCGAUACUUGGUGUGAAUUGCAGAAUCCCGUGAACCAUCGAGUCUUUGAACGCAAGUUGCGCCCGAAGCCAUUAGGCCGAGGGCACGCCUGCCUGGGCGUCACACGUCGUUGCCCCCCCCAUCUACUCCUUCGGGAUUGCGGGGGGCGGAUGAUGGCCUCCCGUGCGCCUCGCCGCGCGGUUGGCAUAAAUGCCAAGUCCUCGGCGACGCACGCCACGACAAUCGGUGGUUGCGAAACCUCGGUUGCCCGUCGUGUGCGGUCGUCGCGCAUCGAGGGCUCGAAAAAAUUGCCGGGUUCCGGCUCGGCUUUCAACGCGACCCCAGGUCAGGCGGGAUUACCCGCUGAAUUUAAGCAUAUCAAUAAGCGGAGGA